rnacentral:rRNA from 1 species
GACGAACGCUGGCGGCGUGCUUAACACAUGCAAGUCGAACGGAAAGGCCCUGCUUUUGUGGGGUGCUCGAGUGGCGAACGGGUGAGUAACACGUGAGUAACCUGCCCUUGACUUUGGGAUAACUUCAGGAAACUGGGGCUAAUACCGGAUAGGAGCUCCUGCUGCAUGGUUGGGGUUGGAAAGGUUCGGCGGUUGGGGAUGGACUCGCGGCUUAUCAGCUUGUUGGUGGGGUAGUGGCUUACCAAGGCUUUGACGGGUAGCCGGCCUGAGAGGGUGACCGGCCACAUUGGGACUGAGAUACGGCCCAGACUCCUACGGGAGGCAGCAGUGGGGAAUAUUGCACAAUGGGCGGAAGCCUGAUGCAGCAACGCCGCGUGCGGGAUGACGGCCUUCGGGUUGUAAACCGCUUUCGCCUGUGACGAAGCGUGAGUGACGGUAAUGGGUAAAGAAGCACCGGCUAACUACGUG